rnacentral:rRNA from 1 species
GCUGGCGGCGUGCCUAAUACAUGCAAGUCGAACGAGUUCUGAUUAUUGAAAGGUGCUUGCAUCUUGAUUUAAUUUUGAACGAGUGGCGGACGGGUGAGUAACACGUGGGUAACCUGCCCUUAAGUGGGGGAUAACAUUUGGAAACAGAUGCUAAUACCGCAUAAAUCCAAGAACCGCAUGGUUCUUGGCUGAAAGAUGGCGUAAGCUAUCGCUUUUGGAUGGACCCGCGGCGUAUUAGCUAGUUGGUGAGGUAACGGCUCACCAAGGCAAUGAUACGUAGCCGAACUGAGAGGUUGAUCGGCCACAUUGGGACUGAGACACGGCCCAAACUCCUACGGGAGGCAGCAGUAGGGAAUCUUCCACAAUGGACGCAAGUCUGAUGGAGCAACGCCGCGUGAGUGAAGAAGGCUUUCGGGUCGUAAAACUCUGUUGUUGGAGAAGAAUGGUCGGCAGAGUAACUGUUGUCGGCGUGACGGUAUCCAACCAGAAAGCCACGGCUAACUACGUGCCAGCAGCCGCGGUAAUACGUAGGUGGCAAGCGUUAUCCGGAUUUAUUGGGCGUAAAGCGAGCGCAGGCGGUUUUUUAAGUCUGAUGUGAAGGCCCUCGGCUUAACCGAGGAAGUGCAUCGGAAACUGGGAAACUUGAGUGCAGAAGAGGACAGUGGAACUCCAUGUGUAGCGGUGAAAUGCGUAGAUAUAUGGAAGAACACCAGUGGCGAAGGCGGCUGUCUGGUCUGUAACUGACGCUGAGGCUCGAAAGCAUGGGUAGCGAACAGGAUUAGAUACCCUGGUAGUCCAUGCCGUAAACGAUGAAUGCUAGGUGUUGGAGGGUUUCCGCCCUUCAGUGCCGCAGCUAACGCAUUAAGCAUUCCGCCUGGGGAGUACGACCGCAAGGUUGAAACUCAAAGGAAUUGACGGGGGCCCGCACAAGCGGUGGAGCAUGUGGUUUAAUUCGAAGCAACGCGAAGAACCUUACCAGGUCUUGACAUCUUUUGAUCACCUGAGAGAUCAGGUUUCCCCUUCGGGGGCAAAAUGACAGGUGGUGCAUGGUUGUCGUCAGCUCGUGUCGUGAGAUGUUGGGUUAAGUCCCGCAACGAGCGCAACCCUUAUGACUAGUUGCCAGCAUUUAGUUGGGCACUCUAGUAAGACUGCCGGUGACAAACCGGAGGAAGGUGGGGAUGACGUCAAAUCAUCAUGCCCCUUAUGACCUGGGCUACACACGUGCUACAAUGGAUGGUACAACAAGUUGCGAGACCGCGAGGUCAAGCUAAUCUCUUAAAGCCAUUCUCAGUUCGGACUGUAGGCUGCAACUCGCCUACACGAAGUCGGAAUCGCUAGUAAUCGCGGAUCAGCACGCCGCGGUGAAUACGUUCCCGGGCCUUGUGCACACCGCCCGUCACACCAUGAGAGUUUGUAACACCCGAAGCCGGUGGCGUAACCCUUUUAGGGAGCGAGCCGUCUAAGGUGGGACAAAUGAUUAGGGUGAA